rnacentral:rRNA from 1 species
GGCGUAAUGAUGGCCAGGCUGUCUCCACCCGAGACUCAGUGAAAUUGAACUCGCUGUGAAGAUGCAGUGUACCCGCGGCAAGACGGAAAGACCCCGUGAACCUUUACUAUAGCUUGACACUGAACAUUGAGCCUUGAUGUGUAGGAUAGGUGGGAGGCUUUGAAGUGUGGACGCCAGUCUGCAUGGAGCCAACCUUGAAAUACCACCCUUUAAUGUUUGAUGUUCUAACGUGGACCCGUAAUCCGGGUUGCGGACAGUGUCUGGUGGGUAGUUUGACUGGGGCGGUCUCCUCCUAAAGAGUAACGGAGGAGCACGAAGGUUGGCUAAUCCUGGUCGGACAUCAGGAGGUUAGUGCAAUGGCAUAAGCCAGCUUGACUGCGAGCGUGACGGCGCGAGCAGGUGCGAAAGCAGGUCAUAGUGAUCCGGUGGUUCUGAAUGGAAGGGCCAUCGCUCAACGGAUAAAAGGUACUCCGGGGAUAACAGGCUGAUACCGCCCAAGAGUUCAUAUCGACGGCGGUGUUUGGCACCUCGAUGUCGGCUCAUCACAUCCUGGGGCUGAAGUAGGUCCCAAGGGUAUGGCUGUUCGCCAUUUAAAGUGGUACGCGAGCUGGGUUUAGAACGUCGUGAGACAGUUCGGUCCCUAUCUGCCGUGGGCGCUGGAGAACUGAGGGGGGCUGCUCCUAGUACGAGAGGACCGGAGUGGACGCAUCACUGGUGUUCGGGUUGUCAUGCCAAUGGCACUGCCCGGUAGCUAAAUGCGGAAGAGAUAAGUGCUGAAAGCAUCUAAGCACGAAACUUGCCCCGAG